GUAAGACAGGAAGGGAGUGAGAUUAAGGUGAGAAGUGGGAGGGGAAGGAGGGAAACCGAGAGGAAUUGAGGGUGGGCUCGGCGUAUCUAGAGCAGUCCGCGGAGGACGCUGAGGCUCGCCGGGGAAGUGCUGUGCCCGAGGCGCCCCAAAGGUGGGCGGCGGUGCCAGCUCAGACCCACGCCUCUGUCCAAGUCCCGACUCCUGCGGACUCGGCUGCAGGCGGGCUCCAUGAGGGCGGGCAGCAGGGCUCAGACGAUCCGGCUCGGUUUGGUCAGCAGACCCCCGGUAACGCCCCGCACCGUCGGCGAUCCCUGCCCCCUUCCACUGCGCCCCCACAAGCCCCGAGCUCGCCAGUCCUUCCCCGCGGCGCUCCGCUCUGUGGCCCCCUCGCAUCCCACCGUGGGGGUGCAGCUCCCCUGGCACAGCCCGACGGUGGGAGAGGGCGGCCAGCUGGACUAAAAGCCCCGUCCCCGGGCGGGACCUUCCUCCCCGCACCCUGACGCGGAGGUUGGCCGGGGGCCUCUGCGUCCCUCUGCCCCGCGCCCUGGAUGGGGAGGGUCUGGGCUCCGCGCCGCGAGGCAGCGCGACGGCUGCGGGCGACUUGGCGUGCGGUGCUGAGGACCCUGGGGGAGUGUGCGCCGCGGGGACGCCGGGGACUCGGGGUCCUAGUGCCACCGGACGCAGCGGGAGUAGCGCAGGUCUGGGGGCGGGGUCUCUCGAGGCGCAGACAACAAGCUAGAUCCUGAGCCCUCUGCUUCAAAGCGGGUAGCGCCUUCGCCCACGCCUUCCCUCCCACCAUCCCUGCCUGGCUGCCACCCGGAAGUCCCCGUCCGCGCCCCGACAGCGCCGCCCUCCGGCUGGCUGCAGCGCGGGCCCUCGGUAGGGGGCGUUCCAAGGCCCCGCCUCCUCGUCACUGCCACGGAUGACGACGCCCCAGGCCCCCGGCCCCGCCUCCGCCUCUGCCUCCGCGGCCAGCACUGGGGAGCGUCCUGGCCUGCGCUUGCUCCCCAACCCCUCCUUGCCCCGCUCUGAGCCGGCGCGUCCUUGCUCCCCCACCACUCUUCUCUCUCGGGCCAGCCGAGCCCAAAAGGCCUCUCCUCUUCUGUUUUUCCAGUUCCCUCCUCAAUUUCACCUCCUCGGAGACCCUCCACCACCCAGAUCUUCAGCGAGCAAGUCACCUUUCCUUUAGAUAGACAGACAGGUUAGAGAUAGAUUAGAGAGAUUAGAUAGAGAUUAGACGGAUAGAUUAGAUAGACUGAUAAGAUGAAAGAUGUAGAUGGUAGAGAUUUGCAUACAUAUGGAUAGAUACAUAUGGAUAGAUCAUAGACAGAUGGAUGAUUGAUACGAUGUGGAUGAUAGAUGGUUGGAUAAAGAUGAUAGUUAUAGAUGAUAAAAAGGCAUAGAUGAUAGAUACAUAUAGAUGACAGAGAUAGAUAGAGAUGAUAUAUAACAUUGUAACACGUAUAGAUAGGCCACAGAUAGGUAGGCAGUGGGUAGAUAGGAGGUAGAUGGAUGGAUAUGCGUAUAGAUAUAGGUAUAUGUCCUGAAGGGACAACCCGGACCCCAGGCUGGCCAGGACAGUACCCAGGCUUUGGCAACCUCCUCAAUAGACACGAAGCUGCAGGUUUUCAGCUGCUUACGCCGGGCAAACUGUAAAGUGCUUUAAAUCCCUGGAACUAACCACAACGGCAGCUUAGCCUGGAAACUCAAGUGCUGGCUGCAGGCAGUUUGAGCGCAGCUCCAGGGCUGCAAGGUUGCCUGCAAGUAACACGACAUUUGUUCAUUCUUUCAAGCAUCUGCUGAGCCUGUUGCAGCUGCCUGUGGCUGGGUUCCGGCACUCAGAGACCCUGGGCCUGCUCGAGAGGGGCUGACAUUAUGGUGGGCAUCAGAGACACCCACACAGAGCCUCACUUGAUCCAUGUGGCAGUGCCCUGGGAGAGGGCAGGGAGGGGUGCUGGGAAACACGAGAGGGGCAGGCAUUUGACCUGGGUCCUGAGGACGGGCUGAGGUUCCCAGAAGAAGAAAAACCACAUCAGUCAGAGGCACCAGUAGGUGCCCAUAGGAAUAGAGGGCCUGGUUCCUCCUGGGCCAGGAAGCAGUUUUGUGGGGCUGGAUCCCCGGAUCCUGAGAUGACAGUGGGUGCUGGGGUGUAGCUUGUGCUCAGAGAGGAGGAAAGCUGGCUGAGGCCAGGUUGAGAGGGAUUCUGAGAGCCCAUCUAUUUCUCCUGUUCCCAUCUCCUCUGUUAUACCUGUCCCCAGGCACCUGAAAUGACAAAGGUGCACAACCCCGGUCCUCUGGGCGUGGACUUCAAACCUAUACACAUGUGACAAUCCCCGAGUUAGACAGCCCUCCUUCAGGAGCAGCUCUGGAUGUCAAAGGGUUACGCUGCUGUCAGCAGCCCCUCCCUCUGUCUGACCUGAAUCCCCCCCACCCACCCAGGGACAGCCUCCCCCUCAGGGUGACUCAGCCCCUGACUCCCAACUCCCUCCCUGCCAUCAGCUAAGACUGUAACUGGUUACCAUAGCGACCUCAAGAAGCCCGGUUCAUACCCCUCCUUCCUGAUGAGACCUGGAGGUCUAAAUUGCUCCUGAGAUGAAUGCUGUGCACAGCUCCUCACCUGCAGAGAUAUUUGACAGGCAGCAUCCCAGCGCCUUCCUCCCCUGCACAAACUCAGGAAGGGAGCGAUGGCAAGAGAGGGAGGCCAGAUGACAGAUACCUCCACCACCGGGCCUCCAGGCUAGCACUUCCCUCCAUAAUAUGGGGGUCCCCAGGGAGAGGAGGACAAAGGACAUGAAGGCAAGAGCUGAAAACUACCAAAGAAGUUUUUGGUGUCCCCAGGAGAAACUACAGAUCUUCACCAAAGAUGAGUGAGGAGACUGUGAAUGGGCAGACACUUCACAUUCACCCAGGGAAGCCUCCAUCCCCUGGUAAAGACACAAGAACAGGGGAGCUGAACCCUUCGCCUCUGGACUUCGGGACCACCCAUUGGUGCUUGUAAGAACCCAUCGAGGAAAGAAAUGUGCUUGCAGCCUGGGAAGUAUCACACAUGUAUCGGGUUGAGGAACCCCACAGCGAGGGACUGCUAACUCUGCCUUCAGCAUGUCUGGGAGCAGAGUCUUUCCCCUGGCUCCAUGAAGGCCUCCUGCGGAUCAUUUCUCACCUGCUGCGGAGCCACCUGCGGUGCUGACUGUCCCCUCCUGAACCCUGUGCCUCUCUAUGCCUGUCUUCAUUACCAGGGUACGAUGUCCUUCUCCAGCUAGGUGGAUUGGUUCCCAAAGACUCCGGAAUGAGGAACAUUUGCAGACAGCAAACUUAAAACCCUACGAGAAGAAUAGGGUGGGGGAAUUGUGGCUGCAGAUGAGCUUAGGAAGGUCCUUGGAUGUAUUUCUUCACAUGCGUCACAACACCACGCAGCCCUAUACCAAAGACAUGGCACAUCCCGAAGUCUUCCUCAAAGGUAAAUGACAAUCAAUUUCCAAUUUCCAUUAUUUGCUCCAGAGAGGUGGUUCAGGAAUUCCCUCGCCCUCAAGUUUAAAUGAGAUAUUAAUGAAUUAUUUUUGCCUUGUUGCAGACAACAUACCUGUUAGGAGGUGUGUGUGUGUGUGUGUGUGUGUGUGUGUGUGUGUGUGUGUGUGUGUGAUUCUCCAUCCAAGUGUUUACUUCCUUUCUCAUUUCAUGACUUUGGGUUAUUGACUCCUGUCCCUCCCCAACCUCUGCCCUCCCCAGUUGGGUGACCUGGGACCAACUCCCCAACCUCCACAUCUGUCUCCUUAUUAGUGAAAUGGAGCUAUGACAGAACCCAUGAUGUAGGGAUGCUCUAAGAUUUAAAUAAAGUAAUCCAGGUAAAAUGCCUAGUCAAUUGUCUGGCACCUAAUAAGCAUUCAGUCAGUGGUAGCCAUUACUUUCUUAUUAAUAAACUCAAAUAUCACAACCUACCAAGUGUCUGACUAUCCUCAGGGCUUGGCCUCUCCCAGACUUCAUCUGUCCCAUGCUGGCACUGUCAGAACUAUGCCCAUGAGGCCGAAUCACCCUGACUAUUUUGAGGCAACCUUGCUCCCACAUUUCCACCAUCUGUUGAAGGUAUUUCCUCUAUUGACCCCCAGGGAGGCCCAAGAGGGCCAAGUCACAGAUGGGAUGGGGAAGAGAAUCUAGAACUGAUCCCUCUUAAAGACAGUGCAGACUAGCAGACGGCUGCAAAACCUGGGUGUUGGGGCCCUGGGAACUUCCAGAAGUGGACCAUCCAUCCCUACUCCUCCCAGAGUUACACACACAUCCCAAGUUGAGACAGCACCUGUGACUGGCCUGGCCACACACUCACCAUUAGGUGGUCAAGACCGGCUCUCUAAAGUGGCUGCCUCAGGCCCUGUGGCUCCCAGUAACCAAAGUCCACAGGAGGGGUGGUGCAGUCUGAUUGAUCCAGGAAGUGAGCAGUGAUGGGAACAAGGGAUCCCCCCAUCUUUCUACGAGGCCUUGGAGCCGACUGGAGCAUGUCACAGAGGGGUGAGCAGGACUUAUUUCAUCAUAUGUUCAAAUGCUUGUGACAGACUUCCAGACACUUCUGUUCCUGCCUCUUCUCCCAAACACACACCCAUCCACAGGAACCCUGUACUCAUGUCCGCCAGAUUCAUGUCUACUCGAAUAAAAACUUCAAUUCAGUGGUUACGUUUGAUGUCCCUGUGCCUUUCAACACAUUUUUACAUAAUCUGACUUUAGAGCCUUUUCUUUAUAAUAUGCUUCCUUUCUAAGAGGAGCCGAUGCCUUUGGUUAAUGGAGUCUAUUCAAAAAAUACCUAUUGAAUACCUGCUAAGGCCUGCUGAAAGCCAGACACUUGGGGUGCAGGGAGGGGUUGCCAAUGGGAUAGAGGAAGCCAGAGACACAUACUUUCCCUCCAAGAAGCUUAGAGUGGGGGCGGCCUGGGGGAGAUGGAAAUUCACACAACUAAUGCCAGGCUUGGUAAGUACACGGAAAGAAGUGAACACAAAUUGCUUCAGGAACAAAAGCCUAAUUCCUGUGUUUGCAUGGGCCUCUGAUUUCAGGUUUGUGAAUUCAUGAGUUACGAUUUGUUAAUAUACAUCAUGGUGCAUGAAAUAAAGCUCUUGAUCUAAUAACACUAAUACACACCAAAUAGAGUGUGAGCUGGAUGAGUAAUUAGUGAAGCUCUGGGGUGUGACAUUAGCCCUGCUUGUGGAGGGAGGCGUAGCACUGCCUAUGUGUAUAUACAGCCAUGCCUCCAGUAUGGCAGCCACCAGGCACACGUGGCUACUGAGCACUUGAAAUGUGGCUGGUCCAAACUGAAAUGUGCUGUUAAAUACACAUGAGAUAUCAAAGACCAGAUAUCAAAGAAUCAGUACAAGAGAUUAAAACAGCUCAUGAAUACAUUUUGUACUGAUUACAUGUUUAAACAAUAAUAUCUUAUACAGUCAUGCACCAAUCAACAACGGGGAUACAUUCUGAGAAAUGUGUCGUUAGGCGAUUUCAUCAUUGUACGAGCAUCACAGAGUGAGUUACACAUGCCUAGAUGGUGUCGCCUACUACACACCUACGACACACCUAGAUGGUCUAGCCUACUACACACCUAGAUGGUCUAGCCUACUACACACUUAGAUGGUCUAGCCUACUACACACCUAGAUAGUCUAGCCUACUACACUCUUAAUGGUGUUGCCUACUACACACCUAGAUGGUCUAGCCUACUACACACCUAGAUGGUCUAGCCUACUAUACACUUAGAUAGUGUUGCCUACUACACACCUAAAUGGUCUGGCCUACUACACACUUAGAUGGUCUAGCCUACUACACACCUAGAUGGUCUAGCCUACUACACACUUAGAUAGUCUAGCCUACUACACACCUAGAUGGUCUAGCCUACUACACACCUAGAUGGUCUAGCCUACUACACACUUAGAUGGUCUAGCCUACUACACACCUAGAUGGUCUAGCCUACUAAACUCUUAAUGGCGUUGCCUACUACACACCUAGAUGGUCUAGCCUACUACACACUUAGAUGGUCUAGCCUACUACACACCUAGAUGGUCUAGCCUACUAAACUCUUAAUGGCGUUGCCUACUACACACCUAGAUGGUCUAGCCUACUACACACCUAGAUGGUCUAGCCUACUACACACUUAGAUGGUCUAGCCUACUACACAUCUAGAUAGCCUAACCUACUACACACCUAGAUGGUCUAGGCUACUACACCCUUAGAUGGUCUAGCCUACUACACACCUAGAUAGCCUAGCCUACUACACACCUAGAUGGUCUAGCCUGCUACACCCUUAGAUGGUCUAGCCUACUACACACCUAGAUAGUCUAGCCUACUACACACCUAGAUGGUCUAGCCUACUACACACUUCGAUGGUGUUGCCUACUACACACCUAGAUGGUCUAGCCUACUAUACACUUAGAUGCUGUUGCCUACUACACACCUAAAUGCUCUGGCCUACUACACACGUAGAUGGCGUUGCCUACCACACACCUAGGCUAUACGGCAUAGCCUGUUGCUCCUAGGCUACAAACCUGUACAGUACAAUACUGUACUGAAUACAGUAGGCAGUUGUAACACAGUGGUAAGUAUUUGUGAAUCUAAACAUAUUUAAACGUAGAAAAGGUACAAUAAAAUAUGGUAUUAUCAUCUUAUGGGACCAUCCUCAUAUAUGCAGUCCACCAUUGACUGAAAUGUUAUUAUGUGGCAUGUGACUAUGUAUAUUGGGUUAAAUAAAAUAUGUUAUAGAAUUAAAAUUAAUUUCAUCUUACUUCUUUUUACUUUUUUUGUUUUAUUGUAGCUACUGGAAAAUUUAAAACCCCAAAUGUGAUUCACAUUUAUGGUCCACCUUAUAUUCCUAUUGGCCAAUGCAGAUCUAGAGCAUUCAUAUUCGUUUCGUCAUUUAAUUCUCACCACCAUGCUACAAAGUAGGCAUUCACCCCCAUUUUACAGUCAAGCUAAUUGAGGCUCAGAGAAGUAGUAAAUUACUCCAAGUCACAUGACAUUAGGCUUCAGCAACUCACUUGAGCUGAUGACUAUCUUGGGCCAGUGGCUCAAGGCCUUGCAGCAAGAUGAAGGCCAAGACAACCACGUCUACUGGCAGUGUGGCCUGGGGCCAGUUAUUUGCUCCAUUACUUGUGGGUAAGAACAGAAGGAGAGUAGGUACUCCGUGUGUUCAACAAGUGAGGACGG
rnacentral:lncRNA from 1 species